rnacentral:lncRNA from 1 species
CCUCACUCCCUCCCUGAGACCCUGAUGACUGACUGAGCUGGCUUGGUCAGGGGAUACAGGCCCCCAAGAGGUGCUUUGCUCAACACAUUGAAUCCUUACUUGGUCCCAUACGGAAAGAGUCCUGGAGGCUAAGACAGACCACCUCUACAUGGAAAUGAUUAUCUCUGACAAAGAGGAUGCAGCCAGAAGCAGAUCCCCUCCUGUGAUGGCACCGGCAGAUAAGUGUGGCUGCCACCCCUCAUCAAACAAGAGAUCGUCACAACAAAUAGAGACCAUCACCGAAAGCCACAGCUGGACACAGUGCAGAGAUGAACAGAUUGUGGGAGCCCGGCUCCAACAGAUAAAUCUACAUCACGACUCCUGCGUCCAUUGCUGAGGGACAUCUCAGAAGAGAGGGAUGAAAAGCUAAUAAGAGUCAGGUUACCAGGAAGUCUGCUAUGAAAGUCUCUCACAGAAAUGGCUGCACAAACAACAUGUAAGCCAUAGCAACAUAAUAGACUAACACACAAAAAGGGGGACAUCCCGCAGGGUCACACCCCUGGACAAGGAGCUACAGACAACAGAGAGAGAGAGGACUGCGGGGAGAGGAGGAGUUACUAGCUGAUGGGUGAGCCCCCUAAUUGGUAAUCCAAUACAAAGAGAGCCUUCAAGCCAUACACACACAAACGACAAAACGAGCUCAGCAGGUUGUAGUCAUUCAUUUUUGCAUACAUAUACAUAGUUACUCGUGUAACAGUAAUUAUCAGGGAAGAUGAUUUGAGAGUGGUGGGAAGACAGACAUGGCAGGAGCUGGACAGAAAAGACUGGAGAGGGGAUGGAGGAAGGGAAGGGAAAGAGAAAGUGCUAUAAUUAGAUUUUAAUUUAAAAAGUAAAUGAGCUUUAAUCCCAGCACUUGGGAUGCAGAGGCAGGCA